rnacentral:rRNA from 1 species
GUUGUUGCGGUUAAAAAGCUCGUAGUUGGAUUUCUGUUGAGGACGGCCGGUCCGCACUAUGUGCGUGUAUCUGGUUCGGCCUUGGCAUCCUCUUGAGGAACGUUCCUGCGCUUGAUUGCGUGGGGCGGUAUUCAAGACUUUUACUUUGAGGAAAUUAGAGUGUUCACGGCAGGCAAGCGCCUUGAAUACAUUAGCAUGGAAUAAUAAUAUAGGAUCUUGGUUCUAUUUGUUGGUUUCUAGGGCUAAGGUAAUGAUUAAUAGGGAUAAUUGGGGGCAUUUGUAUUAACGCGUCAGAGGUGGAAUUCUUGGAUUGCGUUACGACAAACUACUGCGAAAGCAUUUGCCAAGGAUGUUUUCAUUGAUCAAGAACGAAAGUAUGGGGAUCGAAGAUGAUUAGAUACCGUCGUAGUCUAUACCAUAAACUAUGCCGACUAGGGAUUGGAGGUCGUUCUUUUUAUGACUCCUUCAGCACCUUAUGAGAAAUCAAAGUCUUUGGGUUCCGGGGGGAGUAUAGUCGCAAGGCUGAAACUUAAAGGAAUUGACGGAAGGGCACCACCAGGAGUGGAGCCUGCGGCUUAAUUUGACUCAACACGGGGAAACUCACCAGGUCCAGACAUAGUAAGGAUUGACAGAUUGAUAGCUCUUUCUUGAUUCUAUGGGUGGUGGUGCAUGGCCGUUCUUANUUGGUGGAGUGAUUUGUCUGGUUUAUUUCGAUAACGAACGAGAUCUUAACCUGCUAAAUAGUUACACGUAUC